rnacentral:rRNA from 1 species
GUCUGUGGCCACACCACCCUGAACUCACCCAAUCUCAUCUGAUCUCAGAAGCUAAGCAGGGUCAGCCCUGGUUAGUACUUGGAUGGGAGUAACAGUCA